rnacentral:lncRNA from 1 species
GUCGGGAGGUUAUGCAGGUGAGGGAUUGAGCUACCUCCUCUGCGUCGUCCGAUUCCUUGAAGCUUGUCUCCAACUAGUUGGGCAUGGACUAUGGCGGAGCAGCCGGCGAGAUAUAUCCCAAAUCGAUGUGGUCAUCCUAGGUCCACCUUGCGAUGCGAGGGCGACAUUCUUCCAGAUCUAGGGUGAGCUUCUCGAAAUCCCAAUGGUGCGGCGCCUACGAGCCAUGGCGAGGGGGAAGGGUCCCUCUUCGGUGAUUGAGAGGGAAGAUGUUUGGUUCCUUUCUUCUCUAGGUGUUCCUGGAGCACGGUCCAUCCUCGAAGGUCGGCUAUGUCCUGCUGUGCUGCUCCGUUUCUGCUACAUAUGAUCCUAGUGUGGAGUGCUCGGCCUUUGCUAGCUGCAAUUCAUUUGCGGCGGCUUGUGGAGGUUGUAGUGAGUAGGCUUUCCAGUGUUCCCCGUUGUAUCGUUCUGACCGUUGUAAGUUGGGUUGUCUGUUGUAACUCCUGGCCGGUUGAUAGCUUUGUUAAUUCAAAGUCGGGCUCUUCGCGAGCCUUCGUUCUAAAAAAAAUUUGUUGUUGCCCAAUCAAAUAUCUUAGGUUUUCACCCUGGAGAAAGUCCGAGUUCACCCAAAAACAAUGCCUUCAACAAGGCCAUUGCCAGGUACAACCAAUUAAGGCCGGACCUUAGGUUUCCACCCUAGGAAUGGAGACUCGAUACUCGAGGAGCACCACAAAAAAUGUAGUCCUCCAGUGAUGUCGCCCCUGCUUGCCGAGGCCGUUGUUACAAGUCACCAAACACCUGGCACACUGUUGAGUGAUAUUUUUAUACUUAUCUACCCUUUGUUUAAACUGAGAUAUUCGCUCCAUAUUGUCACUAAUGACUAAUUAAUACAUAUAUUCCAUAAAUCCUCUCUUUAUUGUGUUUCUAUAGGAAAUGGGCUAAAUAUGGACAAAAUCAAGUGAGAACAUUGAAAUGAGUGAAGGAGGAGAUAGAAGAAAUCAGGAGGAGGCGCACCAGAAGGCACCGAGCAAAAGAUGGUGUUUCAUGCGACCGCUCGCAUGAGCGGUCGUAUGGCAUGGAACCGAGGCCUCUCAUCCACCUGCACAACUUUUAUAAAGGGGUUGAGGCCGAAUUGUCAACAAAACAUCCACGAGCGAAGCCAGGACAGAGUCAUCCUCAUCCAUCUCCAUCAACCCUAGCCACCUCCAUUUCCAUAUCCAUAGCCACCAUCACCACCAUAGUUCUUCUUCCACUAUAUCAUACUUGUAGUCGUGCAUCGCACACAGCAUCCAUUGUAAGACAUAUUAUUAAUCAAUCCAUAUUCAUGAUGUGUUCUUCAA